ACCCUGGGCGGAGGAUCAAUCGGCUCGUCCGUUGAUGAAGAGCGCGGCCAGCCGCGAAAAGUGAUGCAGGACUCAGUGAACAGCGACACCGCGAACUCACAUUGCAGCCUCGAAAUCCCUUGUGUCGGGGCCCCGUCCGUU